rnacentral:lncRNA from 1 species
UCGGGGAGCGCGCUGGGGCCGGCUGGGGAAGGCGCCCGCCUGCGUCUAACCUCUCCCGCUCCCCUCUGCGUUUCCUGCCUCAGGGAGAAAGUGUCUGCAGCAGGAGUGUUUGGGAAGAGGCUGUCCCCGCCCUGGUGGGCGGUGGUCCCCCAGAGCCCCCUCCCCCAGUUCUGGGAGCUCCUCUCCUGCUGGGCUCUCUCCUGAGUCCUCCUUGAACUUGCCUUCAGCUGGAGAAGCCAGCCUCCCCAGAGUCACCCGCCUUUGCCAGCUGCCUCUAUUCCCCAUGCCCGGCAGACACGGUGGGUGAAGCCUGGUCGCCUUGUCUCCCCUGGGGCAACUCCAGGGCCCCCCAGCUCCAGAGCUGCUGCAGGAUGGGGGGCUGUGAGCUCCCUGUCUCCUCUCCAGGUCACCUCCCUGCAGGGGGCCCUGUGAAGGUCUGUGACUGCUGAGCACCUUCUUUCCUUCCAGCCCCCCUCCCCGAGAAGGGGGGGAGUUCCGUGUGCCACACUCUGUCCACAGGGCUAGGUUCCUCUUCUUUUGGACAGUUUGUUCAAAAGACAGAAAAGAAAUGAACAGCAGGAAGAAGACUGGGUGUGUGUGCUCUCUGCAGGCUGAAUCAGGGUGAUGAGCUAGGGGAGGGGACCCCACUUUAUAUAGGGUGGCCAGGCAGGGCCUUCUGAGCAAGUGACAUUUAAAAAGAAAUUUGAAUGACAAGGAGGAGCCAGCAAGUCUGAAGAAUGAACUAAAGAAAUUUCCAGACAGAGGGACAGCAGGUGCAAAGACUCGAGGUGGUACAAGUUUGUCAUGUUCAAGGGACAGAGAAGAUGACAUGGGUGGCAGAGGGGAGAUGGCAGCAGGGCCAGAUCAGGUUGCAGGGCUUUGUGCCCCAGCAGAAAAAGCUGGGAUCUCCUUCCAGGGGCCAGGGGAUGGCAUGUGGGCUGGGCUAAGCGGGAGUGACUGAUGUGAUGAAAAAAUAUUUUUAAUUAAAUUUAAAAAAAUUUUUGUGCUG